rnacentral:rRNA from 1 species
UACAGAGGCCUCGAGCGUUAAUCGGAAUCACUGGGCUUAAAGGGUGCGUAGGCGGCGCUGCAAGUGCCUUGUGAAAUCCCAUCGCUUAACGAUGGAACUGCUCGGUAGGCUGCAGUGCUUGAGGUUGGUAGGGGCUGCCGGAACUCUAGGUGGAGCGGUGAAAUGCGUAGAUAUCUAGAGGAACGCCCAAGGCGAAGGCAGGCAGCUGGGCCAAUUCUGACGCUGAGGCACGAAAGCGUGGGGAGCAAACGGG